UACGGCUUUAUCGCCGUAUAAUUGGAAUGAGUACAAUUUAAAUCCCUUAACGAGGAACAAUUGGAGGGCAAGUCUGGUGCCAGCAGCCGCGGUAAUUCCAGCUCCAAUAGCGUAUAUUAAAGUUGUUGCAGUUAAAAAGCUCGUAGUUGGACCUUGGGCCUGGACGGGCGGCCCGCCUCACGGCGUGUACUGUCUUGCCGGGCCUUUCCUCUUGGUGAUCUGUUGUUUCGGCAGCAGGGAACCAGGACCUUUACUUUGAAAAAAUUAGAGUGUUCAAAGCAGGCUCGACGCCGGAAUAUAUUAGCAUGGAAUAAUAAAAUAGGACGUGCGGUUCUAUUUUGUUGGUUUUUGGAAUCGCCGUAAUGAUUAAUAGGGACAGUCGGGGGCAUUAGUACUCACAUGCUAGAGGUGAAAUUCUUGGAUUUUGUGAAGACUAACUUCUGCGAAAGCAUUUGCCAAGGAUGUUUUCAUUAAUCAAGAACGAAGGUUAGGAUAUCGAAAACUUAGGCAAACUUGGUCAUUUAGAGGAAGUAAAAGUCGUAACAAGGUAACC
rnacentral:rRNA from 1 species